AAGGGCUGACGGGCUAGAUCUAGUAGGAGUGUUGUUUAUCUCAAUUGUGAAUCUUCAGAAUCGAAGAAGACAUGUCAGCCGUUAUUAGCGCAGUUGCUAUGUUGGUGGUUGUAGCUGUUUUAGUGAUAGUAGUUAUUUUCCUUUGCACAAACUUACUGAAUUGUAAACACUGCCGGGCCGAAAGGAGACUUCACCAACCGGAACCGGUAGUGACGUUAAAGGACAAAAAUGGAAAUGUGAAAGUUCCAUAUGCAUCUGCUGAUACCGAAAAAAACAACAUCCAUGUGAUCACCUUCCCGCCAUCUUACGAUGAAUGUAUGGCGUCACAAAAUUAUUUUCGGGACAUGGAACAGGAAGCAAGUAAAUGCUAGCUGUGCGGAGGCCACACGGAACUUUCGCUUUGUGGGAGGCAUACUAAUCGGGCGAGACGCUCCGAAUGGAGGCCUAGUUUCGUAUGACUAGUAUGAGAAACAAUUUAAAAGGAAUAUGUACAACUGAUUUUGUUUAUUAAUAAAAACAUAAUAAAAUUUUA